CGCAAUCCGUCGGGGGGCCUAUUGCAGGCUGAGAGGUGCAGCGCACUGACCCGUCGAACCUGAUCCGGACAAUGCCGGCGUAGGGAACGGGUGACACGCGCCA
rnacentral:ncRNA from 1 species